rnacentral:rRNA from 1 species
UACGGAGGAUCCGAGCGUUAUCCGGAUUUAUUGGGUUUAAAGGGAGCGUAGGCGGAUUAUUAAGUCAGUUGUGAAAGUUUGCGGCUCAACCGUAAAAUUGCAGUUGAUACUGGUAGUCUUGAGUGCAGCAGAGGUAGGCGGAAUUCGUGGUGUAGCGGUGAAAUGCUUAGAUAUCACGAAGAACUCCGAUUGCGAAGGCAGCUUACUGGACUGUAACUGACGCUGAUGCUCGAAAGUGUGGGUAUCAAACA